AGUGAACGCUGGCGGUAGGCCUAACACAUGCAAGUCGAACGGCAGCACAGGAGAGCUUGCUCUAUGGGUGGCGAGUGGCGGACGGGUGAGGAAUACAUCGGAAUCUACUCUGUCGUGGGGGAUAACGUAGGGAAACUUACGCUAAUACCGCAUACGACCUACGGGUGAAAGCAGGGGACCUUCGGGCCUUGCGCGAUUGAAUGAGCCGAUGUCGGAUUAGCUAGUUGGCGGGGUAAAGGCCCACCAAGGCGACGAUCCGUAGAUGGUCUGGGAGGAUGAUCAGCCACGCUGGAACUGAAGAACGGUCCAGACUCCUACGGGAGGCAUCAGUGGGGAAUAUUGGACAAUGGGUGCAAGCCUGAUCCAGCCAUACCGCGUGGGUGAAGAAGGCCUUCGGGUUGUAAAGCCCUUUUGUUGGGAAAGAAAUCCAGCUGGCUAAUACCCUGUUGGGAUGACGGUACCCAAAGAAUAAGCACCGGCUAACUUCGUGCCAGCAGCCGCCGUAA
rnacentral:rRNA from 1 species